GAGCAGUGGUUGCACAGAGUCAAAAGACAUUUCAGCUUCCCCUAUUGCCCUGCCAGUGAGGGGACUAAGGGUGGCACAAGAAGCUGAAAGAGGAUGGAACCAGGACAGCUGAUCUAAACUUUCCAAAGGGAUAUUCUAUACCAUGUGACAUAAUGUGAAAGAUAUAAAACUGAGGGCAGUCGGCCAGAGGGACAGUCGCUGCUCAGCAACUGGAUGGGCAUCAGUCAGUGGGUGUAUUAUUAAGACCCUGUGAGUCACUCAAAAUAAUGAUUCCAAGUGGGGGGAAGGAAAGGCAGAUAAUGAAACCUGCAGACAUGGAAGAAGUUUUAAUACUCCUAGGAGGCAUUAUACAGAAUGCCAGACUGGACACCUACUGAAAGUGCUGGAACCAUUGUCUUUCUGUAAAAGUUGGGCUGAAUGGAAAGUAGUUAUUGCUUUUAAUUUUGGAUCCUAAAACACUAUAAAAGUACCACUCACCUAAACUUCCACAUAAUGAAGUGCAGUAACCCUUCUGGAAGAACCAGUGGAAAAGAAAAGAGAGAAAAAAAAAUAACAAAAGCAUCAGAAGCAUCACCCUGUGGCACCUGUUGACAGAGGGAUAAAGAAGAAAGUUUAAUCAUUGUUGUGUGACCCCCCUGGACAGCUUUGUGGUUGUCAAUCAGCAUCAUGCAGAGCUGUAGUGUGCCACUCGCAGUGGUGAUGACCAGGCCUGCCCCAGGUUUCUCCUUCACUAUUUUGUAGGACAUCUGUAGUUCUUCCUUUAUCCAGAUUUGUUGCUCAUUCCCUUAAGAUCCCAAUUUAUACAGUCCAUUUUCAAGAUUCAAAUAAAUUUGGAUUUGUUAUAUCUGCAGGUAGAUAUCAGAACAUUCACCUUGCACUCUUUCCUUUGUUCAAGGAGCUUUAUGAGGUUUUUCUGUUUACUGGUAUUAUUUUAUUUUUCAGCUAUAAAUUAACUUUAUAGUAAGCAUAUUUACUCCUGUGCCAGGGGACAGUUCACUAAAGUUAACAUAUAUUUCCAAUGUAUGACUAGAAUUCAACUUAGCACAGAAAAAACUUUGGGUUGUUGGGUUUCUUUUUUGUUGUUUUUGUUUUGUUUUGUUUUGUUUUGUUUUCUGUGUCCUACAAGCAUAAGAGAUCAAAAGCAAUCACUUUUGCAGAGCAGGGGGUAUUUUACAGUUUUUUUGAGGAUCUCUACCUCUUUAGGCAGGAACAAUAUAAUAUGUACCUGACACACACUAAAGUAGAAGAUAUAAAAUGUGGUUUGCCCUGACUAGUCUGGGAACAGAAACAGAAUGAAAAGCUUAUCUUUGUUAAGUGAGGUAUCUACAUGCUAUAAGUCUUUGUAGCCCUACAUCCUCCCAUUGUUUUAGGAAAGACAGAGCACCUCUUUUCAAUUAGGAAAAGAAUGCAAGCCUCUAAGUCUGCCUGCCUGUUUUUCCACUUGGACAUGGACCUAUCACACAAUUCACUGAAUUCGGAAAGGAAAGUCACAGUACUAGUUAACAUUUUUAUGACUUGUUUACUUAGAGAAAUAACAUUUAACCACGCAAUCUAUUUUAACUAAAAGAAAAGAAAUACUCAAAGAAUGUGUAUCAGAGGAAUCUACUGUUUGUAUAAAAAUAUGCUUUCUAUCACAGAGAUGAGAUCGUGCCAGAAACUUGUUAUGAUUUCUCAACAUUCUGUAGCAUGUGAGGUAAAAAAAAAAAAGGCAACUUUACAAUAAAUACAUCUGCGUACUGUUUUUGUAAAUCUGCAAAGUAAGAUUAAAAAUUAUUUUUCUUCAUAUCAUUAAAAUCAAUAAAAUAUAAACAAGCAUGGAAGCUUCUCAGAUAAUAAGCAUCAUAAAUCUACAGUUUAGUUUUCUUUAAAAUGUUCUGUUUACAUGCAGAAAUCCUGCUGAAAGAUGUGGCAGGAACCAUGGUAUUAUCUUCAUUAAAAAAAGAUAUUGC
rnacentral:lncRNA from 1 species